rnacentral:rRNA from 1 species
AACCUGGUUGAUCCUGCCAGUGCGUAUACGCUCUUUUUAAAGAUUAAGCCAUGCAAGUGCUAGUUCAUACAUAUUUAAUGUGAGACUGCGGACGGCUCAGUAUAUCAGUUAUAAUCGCUCGAUUGUUAAGGUUAUUGGAUAACCGUGGGAAAUCUAGAGCUAAUACAUGCACCUUUCUGCGCAUGAUUUCGGUUAUGUCGCAGUUGCAUUUAUUAGAGCAAUACCAACCGUGAGAUGGCAACAUUUCAUGUGGUGAAUCUAGAUAACUUUGCAGAUCGUAUGGCCUUGAGCUGACGACAUUUCGAUUGAAUUUCUGCCCUAUCAACUCUGUUGGCAGUGUAGUGGACUGCCAAGGUUUUUACGGGUAACGGGGGAUCAGGGUUCGAUUCCGGAGAGGGAGCCUGAGAAACGGCUACCACAUCCAAGGAAGGCAGCAGGCGCGAAAAUUACCCAAUCCAGAAAAUGGGAGGUGGUGACGAGAAGUACCGAAUGGCGACUUAUAGUUGCUAGUUUGGAAUGAAAACAAUUUAAGCAAUUGAAUUGAGUAACGACUGGAGGGCAAGUCUGGUGCCAGCAGCCGCGGUAAUUCCAGCUCCAGUAGCGUGUCUCAAAGUUGCUGCGCUUAAAACGCUCGUAGUUGGAUCACGCACUA